rnacentral:rRNA from 1 species
GAUGAACGCUAGCUACAGGCUUAACACAUGCAAGUCGCGGGGCAGCAUGGGGGUUGCUUGCACUCCCCGAUGGCGACCGGCGCACGGGUGAGUAACGCGUAUCCAACCUGCCCUUCACCACGGGAUAACCCGGCGAAAGUCGGACUAAUACCGUAUGUUGUCCAUUGACGGCAUCCGAUUUGGACGAAAGGUUUGGCGGUGAAGGAUGGGGAUGCGUCCGAUUAGCUGGACGGCGGGGUGACGGCCCACCGUGGCGACGAUCGGUAGGGGUUCUGAGAGGAAGGUCCCCCACACUGGAACUGAGACACGGCCCAGACUCCUACGGGAGGCAGCAGUGAGGAAUAUUGGUCAAUGGGCGUAAGCCUGAACCAGCCAAGUAGCGUGCAGGAUGACGGCCCUAUGGGUUGUAAACUGCUUUUAUGCGGGGAUAAAGUGGCCCACGUGUGGGUUUUUGCAGGUACCGCAUGAAUAAGGACCGGCUAAUUCCGUG